ACACCUAUAGGUUAAUCGUCCACUUAUUUCCUUCCAUUGCUUCUUAUCCAAACUCCAUUGUAUCCCCACAGGCCACACCUGUAUUAUCUCCACAGUUGUGGGUUAAUCGGUCCUUCGUUUCUUUGUUCUUAUCCAACCUUUUCUUCUCCCAUCAGAAUCGUCUAGAAGGCCUAAAACCACCCCACCGAAUGAUUUUGCUCCUUCUACUACGGUGGCUUCAAUGGUUGCAAUGGAUUUGGUGACGCCGAGAUCGGUCAUCUGGAGGUGCCGAUGUGGAGGCGACGGUGAACCACCACCGAUUUUGGGUCACUUCUUCUUCGACUCAUUUACGUUUCAGUCAAAAUUCUUCACUCCAUCUACAUCGACCGUCUCCACUGUUGUCUGUUGUUUGGCCCGAUUUUGGUCCUUGACUACCUUUGCUUCAAUGGCUGUGAUGGAUUUGGCGACGCCUUCCCUUGAUAUUAAUUUGGCUUUUCACUACGAAUCGCAUCUUCUCAUCACAUCUCCAUGUUAUCUCCGCAAUCGGCCAGCAGGUUGGAAUAAUCGAAGCUCCUCCGGACCACAGGUAAUCUGUGAUCACUUCCGCCUCCGUCAUGUAACAGGAAAAUACCCCAGUUUUCGGAUUAUUGCUGAUUACUUUGUGUAUUUCUCUUUAGUUGCGUUUCUUCCUCAACACAACCCACUAAAAUACCCGGAACAGGAGCAGUGUUUGUGUUGUUAAUAUUAAUUUUUUCGUAUCAGAGGUCGAUUAAUCACUGUUUUUCAUUGCUCAUUUGAUUUUCUGUCUUCAUGGUUGAUGAUGCUUCCGUCAUCUCUUAUUUUUCAGACUGUUUUCAGCCUUGGUUCACCAUAAGCUUUUAAUUAUUCGUGAAUCUUGGAAACUAAACAUAAUUGACAAUAAUUGAGGAACCUAUUUUAAGUUGGUCAUAAUUGCAUACCACCUUUUUGAUGUUUUGCCUGAGUGGAAUGCUGACAUAAUUUUGUUCUUCUAAUGUCAUAGUUAGUGAUUCUUGGUGUUCUCUAUGUGGUGACAUGACCCUUUUAAUUUGAUUAUUUACAUUCAUGAAUCUUUAUUCAUGCGGAUGGCAAAUACAUCCCUUCAUGUUGCUGCUGCUCAUAACAGUGUUGAAGUAGUUAAGUUUCUGUUGAACAUGGCAGGACUUGAAACACUUGAGUUGGAACAAUGAACAUGUACGGAGAAACACCAUUGCAUAUGGCUACCAAAACGGUUGUAAUUUCUUUCUCAUGGAGCUUCUACCGAAGCUAAAGCAAAUGUAAAAUGGAUGAACUUGAAAAUGAAUUAUCCAAUUUAGUGGGGCGUCAUGAGCUUAAAUUACAACUUAGAAAAUGGGCUAAAGGGAUGCUUUUAGAUGAAAGGCGAAGAGCCAUUGGGUUAAAAGUUGGGACCUGUAGACCACCUCAUAUGUCCCUCCUUGGUAAUCCAGCAACAGGAACAGGUAAAAUUACUUAUAUACCAUCAACAACCUUCUAUUUUUCAAUAGACAUAAAUCAAGCAGAAAGAGGGAAAUCGAAAAGGAGUGACUCAAAAUGGAUUAAUCUUUUCCUUUAUUGAAUUAUUGUGCUAUCUUUCUUUAGGGUCGAUAUCCAAAGAUGGAUCAUGUCAGGUUCUUCUUUUCAUGAUUUCUAUCUACCAAUUGAUAUUUAUUUUCUUUUGAUUUCAUACCAUUAUGUUAUUCUUCUUUCCCAGGUUCGAGUCUUAUUUAUUGAUUUCGUAGGUUCCAGUUUUUCCUAUGUUGAACAGGUAAGCACCUUUCUAGUCUAGAUUAAAUAUGAAUGUAUGAUGACAUUGUAAUUACCUGGUUUGAAAGCUUAAUGUUUUCGACUUCAUCAUCUUCUUCUUUUGGAACAAAUUUUCAAUCAGAUCCUUCUUCAUUCGUACACUACAGGACUCCAAUAUAUGAUUGCCACGAAUGGCAGUUGAUGCUGCUUUCCAUAACUUUUAUCAUUACAGUACGGUAUACUACCAAAAGCCUUUUUUUAAUAAGAGAUUAUGAAUCAGUUUUAUGUUUAAUUGGAGUUUCCAAAUUUAAUAUUCAUGUUCUGUUCAUGUUGUAAAGAAGAGGGUACAUCUGCUCACAUUGCUCACAUAGCAACCUACUUUUUCUAUUCCUUGAUUUCAUUGAUUUUAUAUCUGCUUUUCAAUAUUUGUCUGUUUAUUUCAAGGUUGGAAAAUCUGAUUACAUAUUACACAGUUUCAUAGCUUUUUACCAUUUUUCAAUUUUUUAGUUAUAUAUGUUCUUAUUUAAUAUUUUCUUAGGACCUCUUACCAAGUUCAAUUAGUUUUUAAUUUGAAAGUUAUGCAACUCCAGAUCAAAUCCAAAGGAUCUAUUAACCCAAAAGUAUAACAUUUUUCCCCUCUUUUUUAAUAAUAGUGAUAAAAAAAAGUUUCCAUUUUGGACUGUUUUGAACAUCUCUUGUGCUUUAUUUGCAUCAGGUGAAAACCGUGGCAAAAGCCCAAGAAUGUCUUUUUCCAAUGAGAAUCACAUCAAAAAAUAGGAACAAGAUCAGGAAUAAAUAGCAACCUACUUUUAUUUCCUAUUUUACCAAUAUCAAUUUACUUUCAUUUUUUUGUUAAAUAUAACGCCAUACUUUCAUUUUCUAUUUUGUCAAAUAUUGAAAAAUGAAAGUAUAGUGCUAUAUAUGGGUAUAUACUCAAAACUGCAAACCACCGCACCUCAUUUAUAAUAUCCAAAGUACAUUGGUAUUUUUUAUUUGUCUGUUGUUUGUGUGUUGUGUGAUGUGUGAUGUAUGUGUGUGCUAACCGAUGUGUUCUUCGAUCGUGCAACUGAAGUACUAACAAGAUGAAUGGUCCAUUAUUUGGGUGUGCACAAAUGACUAAGGACAAAAUCAUUAAAAAUCUCCUUCAAGAACGAUGCUCAAACAAAAACACCCUCUUUAACCUAAUGUCGUGUUCAAAGUAUAAACAAAUAGUUUAUGAAAGAAUAUUUACAGAGAAUAAACCGAACAAAAAAUCUAAGAAAUUGACAAGUGGCAAAAAAAAUUUAUUUAUUAGGGAGGAUGGAAUUUCGCCAAUUGGGAUAUCGAGUUCGCUGCCAAUGCAACCCUCAAUUUUCCGUUAGGGUGGCGGGAGGAGUAACGAUAGAACUCCUCCCAAAUCUCCGGUGUCUGUUCAUCGCCUUCAAUGAAGUCGCUGACAGCGUGAAGCGAAAUUCACCAAAAUGUAUUUUAUUGGAUUUAUGGGUAAAAUAAAAAAUGUAGAUGGUUUGAUUAAAAAAAUGACUGAUUUGAUAAUUGAUCAUUUGUGUGUUUUUUUUCCAUACAGGGAUUUAGUUCUCACGUGGCUAACACCAUUCCUGCAACGACAAUUCCCAUGGUACAACAACAACAAAAACAACAGCAACAAGCCUUCGGAAUUGAUGAUUCCGCCUGGCUUAUGUACAAAGAUGGGAAUGUUUAUGUCCCUAAUCCUUAGCUAAAGCUCAUUGCUAUUAAUAUAUUUAAUACAAGAAACUCAUCCCAUUCUUACAAUGGAAUGUAAAGACUGAUUCCAUUCCAUGUAGAGACAUCUAAACUUUGGAUGAAUGCAAGGGACAUUCCAAGUCUAUAAUCCGCAACGUGAUAUAAGGUUGAAGUACCUAUUGACGGCACCAUGAGACUAUGACUUUUCCAUUUUUAGGUUAUAGAUGUAGUGAAUAGCACUCCACUUCAAAUUUAAAAAAUAUUUCCUGUUUUAUUGAAAUUUUUGAACGGUACAUUUAUAUAAAAAAAUCUUAUAUUUAAGAUGAAAUGUACUAAAUUCUUUUCUAAUA